UACAGAGGUCCCAAGCGUUGUUCGGAUUCACUGGGCGUAAAGGGUGCGUAGGUGGCGUGGUAAGUUUGAUGUGAAAGCUCAGGGCUUAACCCUGAAAUGGCAUUGAAUACUACUGUGCUGGAGGUUUGGAGGGGGGACUGGAAUUCUUGGUGUAGCAGUGAAAUGCGUAGAUAUCAAGAGGAACACCAGUGGCGAAGGCGAGUCCCUGGACAACACCUGACACUGAGGCACGAAAGCUAGGGGAGCAAACAGG
rnacentral:rRNA from 1 species